rnacentral:tRNA from 1 species
GCGCCUGUAGUCUAACGGAUAGGGCACUCGUCUUCGGAACGAGAUGUGGAGGUUCGAUUCCUCCCAGGCGCA